UUUACAUUUUAUAUUUUUUUAAUAAAUUUACAUCUUUUUUGUGAAUUUAUGAAUAAUUAUAUAUAAUUUCUUUUAAAUAAUUGUACCAUGAUUUAAUAAUGUUUUUAAAUAUUUUUUUCUUUUAUUUGAAUCGUUUAUUUAUUAUUUUAAUAUUUUUCAAAAAGAAUUUAAUUUAAAUAUAUUAAUUUUGAAAUCAUCCUUAAUUUUAUAAAGACCCAUUUCACAAAAACUACCCUCACAUUUAUUUCUCUCAUCUUUUUAUUUAUUUUCUUAUCACUAUUUUGAUUUAUUUAAUAUUUAAUUCUCUUCUUUAUAUUUUUUAAUUGAAAGGUUAUAUUGAAAGGUGCUUCUAUUUCGAUUAAUAAUUUAAUUUCAUUAUAAUUUUUUUAUUUUUAUAAUGAUAAAUAAUUAAUUCAAAUUUUGCUAUUAUAGCUUACUUUAAUUACAAUAAUUAUUAUUUGUCUUAUCUCAUCGAAAUAAUAUAUAAAAUAUAUAGAACAUUUUAAUAUUUCAUUGUUAUCAACAAUAAACUAUUUUUAAUAAUAUCCAAAUUUACACAAUAACAAAUUUUUUUAAUUUAUUAACUAUUUUUAUUUCUAUAACUAAAAGUUUCUUUAUAGUUUUUUUAUUAUAAAAUAUAUUAUCAAAUAAAGAAACAUUAAAUUAUAUGCGUUUAUAUAAAUUUUAAUCAUUGAUCAUAAUUUUCAUGCUUCGUAUUCAUUAGAAAAAUCGUGAUGAGCGUUCUAAAAGUUUCCAAUCUUAUGCAACAAUUUCAAACAUAAUGGCAUACGAGAAGCAUCAUUUGCGUCACUGCUUACUUUUUGCAUUCCAACUGAGGAAAUUAGCUGUUAAAGCUAUUAAAAUGGUUUGUGCGACAUUGGAACGCUAUAUCUUAUAGAACAUGCAAAAAAUAUAAGGUACCAAAAAUUUAAAGAAUUUUUAAUUUGGAAAACAACGAUCAUGCAUCGAAAAAGUUUGAUGACGGUUAGUUAUUAAGUUAGAGGAAUUGCUCAACGAAAAUCCGACAUAGACGCAAGAAAAAUUAGCAGAAUGAUUGAAAGUCAUCAGACAAGCAGUUUCCAUCUGACUGAAACAAUUGGUAAAAUUCAAAAUUUAGCGAUAGAUCCCAUAUGAAUAAAAAAAUGAAACGAAUAAGAAAAAUACUCGACUCGAGAUUUCUGCUGCCCUGUUUUCACGGCAUAAAAUGAAAAUUUCUGCACAAAAUUGUUACUGCUAUUAAAAAAAAAAUAGAUUUUAUAUGAUUUCAAAUGUUUAUUAUUAUACAAUCCCAAAUAAACAAAACAAACAAACAAUGGAAAUCAUGGAUUAAUUCCAAAGAACCGUCAACUUCAGUGGUAAAAUCGAACUUGCAUUGUAAAAAAAUUUUGCUAUCUAUGUGAUAGAAUUUUCGAGAAAUCAUCCAUUAUGAACUGCUUCCAUCUGGAAGGACAAUAACUGCCGAAUUAUCAAUUAAUAAAUUUAUUUAUUUAUUUAUUGAUCAGUUAGAGCCAUAGAGAAAUGGCCAUUUACUGAAUAAGGAACGAGACACGUAAUUUGCACAAUAAUGGUCAUGCUUUGCACAAAAGGAACGCGAGACACAAUUUAUGUGUGGAGAUGUAAAGUCCUGUCACAUGUAGCAUAUUCUUCAAACCUGGUCUUGUCAGAUUAUCCUUUUCGGAGUCUAUAACACCAAUUGUUGCAUUUCAACUCAGAAAAAUGUAUUAAUGAUUUAUAAUUUACGCACUAGGUGGGAAAGAAUUAUAGAGAAUAAGGAUGAAUAAGUUGAGAUAAGUUGAGAUAAUUUUGUACCUGAUUUAUAUAAUAAAAUCUUGAAAAAAAGGGAAAAAAACUUAUUUGCAAAUUUAAUAAAAAAAUUACCAAAAUUUAAUGUACGAUUUUAAAUGACAUGUCGUUUAAAUUCAUUAUGUUGUAUUAAAUAAAUAGUCUUAGAAAUAAAUACUAAUACUAUUUUUACAAAAUUUUAUUUAACAUGUUAUAUUGUGUUGAAUUAUAUGAAAAGAAAAAAUAAUAAAUUAUAAUAAAUUAUAAUAAAAAAUAAAAAAUAAUUCAUUGAAUAUUUAUAUAUUAUAAUAAAACUAUUAAAAGUCUAG